AUCAGAGGAAGGAGUCUGGGAGGGACGUCCAUCUAAAUAUGAAGCGUCAACAAGCAAGAAGUAUGGUGGUAGCUUCUCCAAAAAUAAGGAAGUAGAAACUAAUGUAGUAUCAGUAGGGAGGCAGAGGAGGCCUCAUGUGAGGAAAAGUUCCCAAUCCCGUCAACAUCAGCACCAUGUAUCAUCAGUAAUUCCAUUUUUUUUACAACAAUUCAACCAAUCAAUCAAUUCCAAUUCAAUAACAACUUCAACAACAACCAC
rnacentral:lncRNA from 1 species